UAGGUCGAUCUAAAUUAUAUCAAUCUAAUCUCUGGAAAUGGGGUCUAAGACGAAUCCAUCCCCUUUCACAUUAAAGCACCCCCUUGUAAUCCAACAAAUGGGAAUAUUCUAACACUUUUAAAAAUGACAACCCCUUGUUGUUACCCCGUAUCGUGGACGUGCACAUGUCAUAUAUUUCCAAAGUUCACAGUGAGUAACAGGUCAAACGUUAGAACAGACAAAAGCCAAGCCCUAUGAAACUCAGUAUAACUCGAUCCUUUCUCGAGAGACGACUUAAUUACCUUGCAACAUGCAGUGCUUCGAGAAAGAUUCCCGCUUUAAUCACAGAAGCAUGCUUUGGCUCUAAUUUGUGUUAACACACACUGUGCGAACAUUACUGAAAUCACUAUAUCACCUACCUUGUAAAACGAUGACCGGCUGCCCCGUGUCUAGUGAUCUAUAUUAUUGUGUCUUGCUGUUUUUAGUCUUGAGUAAAACACGAAGUAAAAGGUUGCCGUGCGCGCUUUUCUGUCAUUAAUACUGCGCUAUAGGUCAAUGCUAGAGAAUCGGCGCGAAAGAUAUCCCAUUACAGACUAUCUGCGCAUGCGCAAGGCCAGGCGGUUGAAAAUGCGCGGACUGAAAGACAGUGCAGGCCGGUCACAGAAGAUAAUUUCCAAGCCACCGUAUUGAUUAUGGUCGACUUCUUUGCAAGAUGGCAAUUGUUGCGGCGAUAAUUUAACUGACGAGGAUGAAGAGAAUGAGUAAAUGCAUCAGAUGCUAUUAAAAGACAGGCUGUCUGAACAGCAUAUAAAAGCAAACAAAGUGGAUGAGCUAAGGCAAAAAAAAUUGGAAGAGAAGAAUGGGGUGCCAUUAAAAGAUACUACAGAUCUGAAAAGUAGGAGGAUGUUCUAAAACAAGCAAAAGGACUGGAUGAGCUGAAACAAAAAAUAUGAAAAAAAAAGUAAGGAGGAGGCAAAAGGCAAAGAUUUGUGCAGGCAAAGUGUUCACUUGACAGACGAUUCCAGGAAUACUACUCCCACGAGAGUGGGAGGUUACGCAUAUAUAGUAGGACUAAUGGAUCUGGCUGAAAGUACAUUUAGAGAACAUUUCCUGGGCCUUUCUUGGAUUAUCAAAACAAGAAAAUUAAAUUUCCUUGGAUUAUCAAAAACUUUCAAAAGACAAGCACAACCUGCACAAAAAUGUUA